rnacentral:lncRNA from 1 species
UCCGCGCCUGGCUCUUCGAGCACUUCCUCCACCCGUACGACCGACGUCUCGUCGUCACUAGCUCCAUUCUUCUUCUUCAUCAUCUAUCAGUACCGAUUUGUUAUCACCAUAGUAUAUGGUUAAAAAAAAUUGACAUCCUGCACAAAUAUGAUGAGAUGCAAUGAACUGCAGGUAUCCAAAUGACGUGGACAAGCACAUCCUUGCGCGGCAGACAGGGUUAUCGAGAAGCCAGGUGAUUCAUUCAUUCGUUGCUUUAUUUGCUACAUAACACAAGUUCAUCCAUCCAUGUGCCUUUAACAAUUCCAUCCACAUACUGUACACAAUUACAGUUACUGCACAGCACAAUAAUGUUACAUACUAUUUUUAACUCUUGUUAUUACUUGUUGGAGUAGUAAAAAUAGAUCCAACCACCGCCUGCAUCUGUCUCUUUUCACGAACGUGUGGACUGACUACGAGGAUCGAUCAAUGUCACUCCACAUCAUCUUUAAUGCUUGAUAGCAUCACUUAUCUAUAAAUCUCCCACCAAUAAUCUGCUCCUGCUAGCUAUAGCACACUCCUUUUCUUUAAUUUUCACAAAAAAUGGAGACGAAUAAUGCAAAUAAAUAAUUUUUUCUUACCUUUUGUUACUAGGUUUCCAAUUGGUUCAUCAACGCAAGGGUGCGGCUGUGGAAGCCAAUGAUCGAGGACAUGUACACGGAAGAAGUGAAGCAGCAAUCGGAGGCGGCUCAAAACCCUAGCGGUGGCGGCGCCGGAGCCGGAGCCGGAGCCGUCAAACCCGAGCAACAGAGCACAACAACGAUAGGCGAAAGUGCCUUCCGAAUAACCAGCGCCGGGAACAACCCUACGACGACCUCCAUCAACGUUACCGACGGCGGCGACCACCAUCAUCUGUUGAGCAGCUAUCCAAGCUUGCAUGGGAGUGUGUCGCUUACCCUAGGGCUCCAGCAGCAGCCGUUCGCGUCGCCGAUGAUGAUGAUGCUGCAUGGUGAAGAGACGGAAGAGCCGGUGCUGCCAUACAUAGACCUCACAGCAGGUUCUCAGUUCCUGCAUGAUUUGGCAGGGUAG